GACGAACGCUGGCGGCGUGCCUAAUACAUGCAAGUCGAGCGAAGCGGCGGAUGGGUGAGUAACGCGUGGGUAACCUGCCCUUAAGUCCGGGAUACCAUUUGGAAACAGAUGCUAAUACCGGAUACUAUAGGAUGGCACUGCGAUGCAUUAGCUAAUUGGUAAGGUAACGGCUUACCAAGCCGAUGAUGCAGAGCCGAGUUGUGAGACUGAUCGGCAAGAUUGGGACUGAGACACGGCCCACACUCCUACGGGAGGCAGCAGUAGGGAAGCUUCCACAAUGGACGAAAGUCUGAUGGAGCAACGCCGCGUGAGUGAAGAAGGUUUUCGGAUCGUAAAGCUCUGUUGUUGGUGAAGCGGUAAUCAACCAGAAAGUCACGGCUAACUACGUGCCAGCCGCCGCGGUAAUUC
rnacentral:rRNA from 1 species